GAGCUUGCUCCUCUGACGUUAGCGGCGGACGGGUGAGUAACACGUGGAUAACCUACCUAUAAGACUGGGAUAACUUCGGGAAACCGGAGCUAAUACCGGAUAAUAUAUUGAACCGCAUGGUUCAAUAGUGAAAGACGGUUUUGCUGUCACUUAUAGAUGGAUCCGCGCCGCAUUAGCUAGUUGGUAAGGUAACGGCUUACCAAGGCAACGAUGCGUAGCCGACCUGAGAGGGUGAUCGGCCACACUGGAACUGAGACACGGUCCAGACUCCUACGGGAGGCAGCAGUAGGGAAUCUUCCGCAAUGGGCGAAAGCCUGACGGAGCAACGCCGCGUGAGUGAUGAAGGUCUUCGGAUCGUAAAACUCUGUUAUUAGGGAAGAACAAAUGUGUAAGUAACUAUGCACGUCUUGACGGUACCUAAUCAGAAAGCCACGGCUAACUACGUGCCAGCAGCCGCGGUAAUACGUAGGUGGCAAGCGUUAUCCGGAAUUAUUGGGCGUAAAGCGCGCGUAGGCGGUUUUUUAAGUCUGAUGUGAAAGCCCACGGCUCAACCGUGGAGGGUCAUUGGAAACUGGAAAACUUGAGUGCAGAAGAGGAAAGUGGAAUUCCAUGUGUAGCGGUGAAAUGCGCAGAGAUAUGGAGGAACACCAGUGGCGAAGGCGACUUUCUGGUCUGUAACUGACGCUGAUGUGCGAAAGCGUGGGGAUCAAACAGGAUUAGAUACCCUGGUAGUCCACGCCGUAAACGAUGAGUGCUAAGUGUUAGGGGGUUUCCGCCCCUUAGUGCUGCAGCUAACGCAUUAAGCACUCCGCCUGGGGAGUACGACCGCAAGGUUGAAACUCAAAGGAAUUGACGGGGACCC
rnacentral:rRNA from 1 species